rnacentral:rRNA from 1 species
CGGACGGGUGAGUAAUGUCUGGGAAACGUGCCUGAUGGAGGGGGAUAACUACUGGAAACGGUAGCUAAUACCGCAUAACGUCGCAAGACCAAAGAGGGGGACCUUCGGGCCUCUUGCCAUCGGAUGUGCCCAGAUGGGAUUAGCUAGUAGGUGGGGUAACGGCUCACCUAGGCGACGAUCCCUAGCUGGUCUGAGAGGAUGACCAGCCACACUGGAACUGAGACACGGUCCAG